rnacentral:lncRNA from 1 species
AAAAUUAACAAACACUCGAUUCCUUAGUGUACAACUCACUGAUUUACAUAAUAAUUCCAUAAUUCAUUAUGCCAAUUCAGAGUUAAACUAGGCGUUAUAAGUUUGUUAAUUCAAAAUUCACAACUUAUAAUUACAUAUUCCUAGUUAGUUACUAAGUUGACUAAUUGCCCUAUAUCAGAUUAGUAUACUUAUGAUCAAUAAUCCCUACUCAUCUAAUAUCAAGUUGCGCGUUCGUCAAUACACAAAAGGCAUUAAGAAC